GAUGAAGAACGUAGCGAAGUGCGAUAAGUAAUGUGAAUUGCAGAAUUCCGUGAAUCAUCGAAUCUUUGAACGCAAAUUGCACUUUCUAGUAUUCCGGAGAGUAUGCCUGUUUGAGGGUCAGUGUAAUAAAUAAAUCGUGGUUGUUACCACCUUUCGUGGUGACGCUUCGGAAUUGAGUCCUCUUACCCUUCGGGUUAAGUGACUUAAAAUUUUUUCAUACGAUUUCGAAACGUAUUUAAUGUAUUAUGUACGUUCACGAAUAUCGAAUGUUUAUUAGGUGCGGUCAUUUUUCAUGAAUUCGCGUCUAUAAUUUUUUUUUUUUGACCUCAAAUCAGGUAAGAAUACCCGCUGAACUUAAGCAUAUCAAUAAGCGGAGGA
rnacentral:misc_RNA from 1 species